rnacentral:lncRNA from 1 species
AGAACAGCACGUAGCAGGCCCCUGUGGAGGAUUAACACAGUGGCUGAACACCGGGAAGGAACUGGCACUUGGAGUCCGGACAUCUGAAACUUGGACUGUGAAUGCAGCCCGUGAAAAAGAGGGUUUUCGGAAGCUUGACAUUUAUGAGGGUGAGGAAUUGACAAGCCGACAUCAGUCUCCAGAGUGAAUCCAAGGAGUGGACCCAAGACAUUUGUGUUCUGUGAUGUGGUGGCAUGUUACCUGUCAUCUCCGAUGCAUAACUCCUAAAGUGCGUCUGGGGCAGUUGUACAGAUUGCAGAGGAUAAUACUCAAGAUGUUCUCCAAGGCCAACUAGUCAUCAGUUUAUUCAUGUUUCUGGGAUUGGAUUCAUGAACUCAUCCUUUGAACUAUUUCAACAAGCUUUUUCAUGUAACUAAUCUGCGGAAGGUAGAAAGGGGAAAACUGUUGGGUGCUAAAAUGACAACUGGUUCAAGGUACAAUGGCGAAUAUUUUUAUUUCUGCAACUUUUCUUAGAGGUUGGAAACUGGACUGGGCAGGAAGAUUCCUUUUUGUAAGAUUAGUCUCCAGUUUUCAUCAAGCAGUUUAGUGGGGUAUUUUAGGCCCAGUUCCCUCUCCACAGUCCCCAAAGGUCUUCUGUUAACUUUAAAUCCGCAAAGAGAGAGAUCUCUGCCAAGCAGCAACUGCAAGAGCAUGUGGGUCAAUGUUACCAGCAGACACUCAAAGCCCAUUCCCUUUACUUCAACACCGCUUUAUAAAUUAUCUUAGAGACGUUGUCAGGUUGGUAUUAGAGAGCUCCCAAGAUGGUGGUGGGCCACUUCCAAGAUGGUGGCAAGAGUCGUAUUCUCUGACCUGGGGUUCUUGGUCUCAUGGAUUCCAAGGAAUGGAAUCUUGCGCCAUGUGGAGAAGCGUCAGAUAAUUAGGCAGCAGUC